rnacentral:rRNA from 1 species
CGAAGGGGCUAGCGUUGCUCGGAAUUACUGGGCGUAAAGGGAGCGUAGGCGGACAUUUAAGUCAGGGGUGAAAUCCCGGGGCUCAACCUCGGAAUUGCCUUUGAUACUGGGUGUCUUGAGUAUGAGAGAGGUGUGUGGAACUCCGAGUGUAGAGUGAAAUUCGUAGAUAUUCGGAAGAACACCAGUGGCGAAAGGCGACACACUGGCUCAUUACUGGACGCUGAGGCUCGAAAAGUGUAGGGGAGCAAAACAGGAUU